rnacentral:rRNA from 1 species
CGUAGGAAAUCUACCUUUGAGACUGGAAUAACAAUUAGAAAUGAUUGCUAAUGCCGGAUGAUAUAUAAUAUGAUACGUCAUAAUAUAUUAAAAGGGAGCCUUUAAAGCUCUGCUUAAAGAUGAGCCUGCGACGUAUUAGCUAGUUGGUGGGGUAAGGGCCUACCAAGGCGACGAUGCGUAGCCGACCUGAGAGGGUGAUCGGCCACACUGGGACUGAGACACGGCCCAGACUCCUACGGAAGGCAGCAG